rnacentral:rRNA from 1 species
UAAUAGUGUAUAUUAAAGUUGUUGCAGUUAAAAAGCUCGUAGUUGAAUGUUGGUGUCGAACGAGCGGUCAGCUUCGGCUGUACUGCUCUCUCGACUCCUUCCUUCUGUGGACUACGUCGCACUUUACUGUGUGGCGCUAGGACGCAGAUCGUUUACUGUGAAAAAAUUAGAGUGUUCAAAGCAGGCCGUACGCUUGAAUACAUUAGCAUGGAAUAAUGGAAUAGGACGUCGGGCCUAUUUUGUUGGUUCUAGGACCGUCGUAAUGAUUAAUAGGGACAGUUGGGGCCGUUUAUAUUCCGUAGUAAGAGGUGAAAUUCUUGGAUUUACGGAAGAUAAACUACUGCGAAAGCAUUCGGCAAGGAUGUUUUCGUUAA